AAAUUGAAGAGUUUGAUCAUGGCUCAGAUUGAACGCUGGCGGCAGGCCUAACACAUGCAAGUCGAACGGUAACAGGAAGAAGCUUGCUUCUUUGCUGACGAGUGGCGGACGGGUGAGUAAUGUCUGGGAAACUGCCUGAUGGAGGGGGAUAACUACUGGAAACGGUAGCUAAUACCGCAUAACGUCGCAAGACCAAAGAGGGGGACCUUCGGGCCUCUUGCCAUCGGAUGUGCCCAGAUGGGAUUAGCUAGUAGGUGGGGUAACGGCUCACCUAGGCGACGAUCCCUAGCUGGUCUGAGAGGAUGACCAGCCACACUGGAACUGAGACACGGUCCAGACUCCUACGGGAGGCAGCAGUGGGGAAUAUUGCACAAUGGGCGCAAGCCUGAUGCAGCCAUGCCGCGUGUAUGAAGAAGGCCUUCGGGUUGUAAAGUACUUUCAGCGGGGAGGAAGGGAGUAAAGUUAAUACCUUUGCUCAUUGACGUUACCCGCAGAAGAAGCACCGGCUAACUCCGUGCCAGCAGCCGCGGUAAUACGGAGGGUGCAAGCGUUAAUCGGAAUUACUGGGCGUAAAGCGCACGCAGGCGGUUUGUUAAGUCAGAUGUGAAAUCCCCGGGCUCAACCUGGGAACUGCAUCUGAUACUGGCAAGCUUGAGUCUCGUAGAGGGGGGUAGAAUUCCAGGUGUAGCGGUGAAAUGCGUAGAGAUCUGG
rnacentral:rRNA from 1 species